rnacentral:rRNA from 1 species
UACGUAGGGGGCGAGCGUUGUCCGGAUUUACUGGGCGUAAAGGGCGUGCAGGCGGUUUGGUAAGUGCAGGGUGAAAGCUCCCGGCUCAACUGGGAGAGGUCCUUGCAUACUGGCGAACUCGAGGGAGGCAGAGGAAAGUGGAAUUCCCGGUGUAGUGGUGAUAUGCGUAGAUAUCGGGAGGAACACCUGUGGCGAAGGCGGCUUUCUGGGCCUUACCUGACGCUGAGACGCGAAAGCGUGGGGAGCGAACCGG